AGGAUUGAGGCAAUUGGACCAACCUUGAGAGACCAACCAUUGGAGCAAGCUAUGGAGCUUGAUUAGCUCCAUUGGAUAGGUUUUGUUUGGUGAGUGGAUAAUUGUAACUGGUUGCAGAAACUGUUGGUGGGAACAAAGGUUGGCUAAAGCUUGAGGUAAGGAUGCUGCAGGAGCCUCUGAUGGCAAGUGGCCUUAUUUGCAGUAGAUCAUGCAUGAAGAAAAUGAUGUUUUGAGAUCAUACAUGUUGUUUUGUAGAUUUACAUGUAUAGGAUUGAUCAUUGAUAGCAUUGACGUAUGUAUAUCUCGUUAUAUUUGAUGGAC